rnacentral:rRNA from 1 species
GAUGAACGCUGGCGGCGUGCCUAAUACAUGCAAGUCGAGCGAACGGACGAGAAGCUUGCUUCUCUGAUGUUAGCGGCGGACGGGUGAGUAACACGUGGAUAACCUACCUAUAAGACUGGGAUAACUUCGGGAAACCGGAGCUAAUACCGGAUAAUAUUUUGAACCGCAUGGUUCAAAAGUGAAAGACGGUCUUGCUGUCACUUAUAGAUGGAUCCGCGCUGCAUUAGCUAGUUGGUAAGGUAACGGCUUACCAAGGCAACGAUGCAUAGCCGACCUGAGAGGGUGAUCGGCCACACUGGAACUGAGACACGGUCCAGACUCCUACGGGAGGCAGCAGUAGGGAAUCUUCCGCAAUGGGCGAAAGCCUGACGGAGCAACGCCGCGUGAGUGAUGAAGGUCUUCGGAUCGUAAAACUCUGUUAUUAGGGAAGAACAUAUGUGUAAGUAACUGUGUACAUCUUGACGGUACCUAAUCAGAAAGCCACGGCUAACUACGU